GACGAACGCUGGCGGCGUGCUUAACACAUGCAAGUCGAACGGUGAAGCGAGUGCUUGCACUCGUGGAUCAGUGGCGAACGGGUGAGUAACACGUGAGUAACCUGCCCAUCACUCUGGGAUAAGCACUGGAAACGGUGUCUAAUACUGGAUACGACCAACCCUUGCAUGGGGUGUUGGUGGAAAGAUUUAUCGGUGAUGGAUGGACUCGCGGCCUAUCAGCUUGUUGGCGGGGUAAUGGCCCACCAAGGCGACGACGGGUAGCCGGCCUGAGAGGGUGACCGGCCACAAUGGGACUGAGACACGGCCCAGACUCCUACGGGAGGCAGCAGUGGGGAAUAUUGCACAAUGGGCGAAAGCCUGAUGCAGCGACGCCGCGUGAGGGAUGACGGCCUUCGGGUUGUAAACCUCUUUCAGCAGGGAAGAAGCGAAAGUGACGGUACCUGCAGAAGAAGCACCGGCUAACUACGUG
rnacentral:rRNA from 1 species